rnacentral:tRNA from 1 species
GGUCCCGUGGGCCAGUUGGAGUGGCCGUCUCCCUGUCACGGAGAAGAUCGGGGGUUCAAGUCCCCUCGGGAUCG